rfam:Oryza glumipatula chromosome 1, whole genome shotgun sequence.
UUUAAUUGCAACCAUAAGCUUUCGCGCCCAACUUUGAUCGUCCGUCUUAUUUGAAUUUUUUUAUAAUUAGUAUUUUUGUUGUUAUGAGAUGAUAAAACAUGAAUAGUACUUUACUCGUGACUAAUGUUUUUAAUUUUUUUUAAAAAAAUUGUCAAAUAAGAUAGACGGUCAAAAUUAGGUGCGGAAAACUAUGGCUGUAUUUAAA